CCUAGUUGUUUCUCCUCAAGAACAUAUGGGUUGAAUUAUUAAUCGAAGAAGAAAUCUUCCACCAUCACUAAGUCAUAUCUUUUCAUCGUUAUCUUCGAUCUGAAACCAAUUUCAUCUUCCAUCAUAUUAACUCAAAAGUAAGUAGUUGUCGGAAAUAAUUUCUUUCCAUCUCAGAAAAUCAGAUAAUUGAUUUUUUGGAAUUGAAGAGAUGGAUAAAAAUGGAGGAGGGUAUAAUCUAAGAACAGUAGAAGAAGUAUCUAGAUAUUUUAAAGGUAGAAGAGCUGGAAUGAUUAAAGAUCUUACUUCUGAAUUUUUCACGCAGUGCGAUCCUGGUGAUGAUAUUUCUUCUCCUUCGAUCUUAUCUCUAUUUACACCAUUUUUGUUAAUUAUCGGCUAUUUUUUCAUGUUUCUUUUGGGAUUUGUUUUUCGAGUUUAGUUAUCAAUGUUGGUAUGAUUAGUAGAUUAGGGUUGAUUUGAGGGGUUUUGCUUGUUAGGGGUUGUGUUUUCUUGAUUUUUUUGAUGUACUGAUUUGACCGAAUUAGAGUAUUUGAUUCGAUUUGGAUUAAAUAGUUGUUAUUGUUUGAAGCGGAUUUUAGUGUGUUUUAAGAGGAUUUUAAUGUGGGGAUUCAAGAUGGGUGACUUUAAUGCUGUUUUAGAUUCUGGGAUUGUAGUUAAAUCUUGGUAUUGUUGCUCAAAUUGAGUUAUAGUAGUCAGCUUCUGGGGUUGAUGCUAAAAUUGGGUUUUUAAUUGAUCAUGUUAAGCCUUGGUUUGGAAUUGUUGGCGAUGUAACCUGUGUGCUUUUAUGGUUUACAGUGGACAAAAACAAUGGAGGUUAUGAAACCUAUGGAUAUGUUUCAGCUGCUCAAGAUCCUAACAUGUAUUUUAACCAAGGCUAUAUUCUGCCAACUACUAGCACUUGGAAACUGUAAUCAAGUCUCGCAUCCCAGGACUCCAGUCGCUAAUUAAUAAAAGUAUUGCUGAACUAGAGGCGAAAUUCAUUCGUUUUGGCAAGCCUUUUGCUUCUGAUGCUGGAUAGGGUAAAUUGUACUCAAUUAUGGAGAUUUGUCGUCUUUAUGAUGGAAUUUUCAAAGAACAUCUUGACGGUAUGUAUGUAGCUGGUAGAUUGGAAUGUAGCUGGUGUUACUUUCUGGUAGAUUGGAAUGUAGCUGCCCCGGCGCACACAUGAACGAUGUUCUUUGUCGUAUGUGAACCAGGGACAAACACA